rnacentral:rRNA from 1 species
GGGCCCGCACAAGCGGUGGAGCAUGUGGUUUAAUUCGAAGCAACGCGAAGAACCUUACUAGGUCUUGACAUCCUUCGCUACUUCUAGAGAUAGAAGGUUCCCCUUCGGGGGACGAAGUGACAGGUGGUGCAUGGUUGUCGUCAGCUCGUGUCGUGAGAUGUUGGGUUAAGUCCCGCAACGAGCGCAACCCUUGAUCUUAGUUGCCAGCGGUUCGGCCGGGGACUCUAAGAAGACUGCCAGCGCAAGCUGAGAGGAAGGUGGGGAUGACGUCAAAUCAUCACGGCCCUUACGUCCUGGGCUACACACGUGCUACAAUGGUAGAGACAGAGGGCAGCCACCUGGUGACAGGGAGCGAAUCCUUAAACUCUAUCUCAGUUCGGAUCGAAGUCUGCAACUCGACUUCGUGAAGCUGGAAUCGCUAGUAA